rnacentral:rRNA from 1 species
UGAACUCGAAGAGUAGGGCGGGACACGUGGUAUCCUGUCUGAAUAUGGGGGGACCAUCCUCCAAGGCUAAAUACUCCUGACUGACCGAUAGUGAACCAGUACCGUGAGGGAAAGGCGAAAAGAACCCCGGCGAGGGGAGUGAAAAAGAACCUGAAACCGUGUACGUACAAGCAGUGGGAGCACCUUCGGGUGUGACUGCGUACCUUUUGUAUAAUGGGUCAGCGACUUAUAUUCUGUAGCAAGGUUAACCGUAUAGGGGAGCCGCAGGGAAACCGAGUCUUAACUGGGCGUUAAGUUGCAGGGUAUAGACCCGAAACCCGGUGAUCUAGCCAUGGGCAGGUUGAAGGUUGGGUAACACUAACUGGAGGACCGAACCGACUAAUGUUGAAAAAUUAGCGGAUGACUUGUGGCUGGGGGUGAAAGGCCAAUCAAACCGGGAGAUAGCUGGUUCUCCCCGAAAGCUAUUUAGGUAGCGCCUCGUGAACUCAUCUUCGGGGGUAGAGCACUGUUUCGGCUAGGGGGUCAUCCCGACUUACCAACCCGAUGCAAACUACGAAUACCGAAGAAUGUUAUCACGGGAGACACACGGCGGGUGCUAACGUCCGUCGUGAAGAGGGAAACAACCCAGACCGCCAGCUAAGGUCCCAAAGUCAUGGUUAAGUGGGAAACGAUGUGGGAAGGCACAGACAGCCAGGAUGUUGGCUUAGAAGCAGCCAUCAUUUAAAGAAAGCGUAAUAGCUCACUGGUCGAGUCGGCCUGCGCGGAAGAUGUAACGGGGCUAAACCAUGCACCGAAGCUGCGGCAGCGACACUAUGUGUUGUUGGGUAGGGGAGCGUUCUGUAAGCCUGCGAAGGUG